rnacentral:rRNA from 1 species
UACAGGGGGUGCAAACGUUGCUCGGAAUCAUUGGGCGUAAAGCGCACGUAGGCGGUCUGUUAUGUCGGAUGUGAAAGCCCUCGGCUCAACUGAGGAAGUGCAUCCGAAACUGGCAGGCUAGAGUACUAAAGAGGGUCGCGGAAUUCCCGGUGUAGAGGUGAAAUUCGUAGAUAUUAGGAAGAACACCAGUGGCGAAGGCGGCUCACUGGUCCGGUACUGACGCUGAGGUGCGAAAGCGUGGGGAGCAAACAGG